GCAUCGGUAGCUCAGUGGUAGAGCAAGCGGCUGCAGUUCAGCGGCUCCAUUAGGAUUUCUGCUGAGCUUCCGCUGGGUCGCGCGUUCAAUUCGCGCCCGGUGCU
rnacentral:tRNA from 1 species